UCUUUCGCUGGGGAAGAUAAUGACGGUACCCAGUAAAGAAGCCCCGGCUAACUCCGUGCCAGCAGCCGCGGUAAUACGGAGGGGGCUAGCGUUGUUCGGAAUUACUGGGCGUAAAGCGCGCGUAGGCGGGCUGGAAAGUUGGGGGUGAAAUCCCGGGGCUCAACCCCGGAACUGCCCUCAAAACUGACUGUCUGGAGUUCGAGAGAGGUGAGUGGAAUUCCGAGUGUAGAGGUGAAAUUCGUAGAUAUUCGGAGGAACACCAGUGGCGAAGGCGGCUCACUGGCUCGAUACUGACGCUGAGGCGCGAAAGCGUGGGUAGCAAACAGGAUUAGAUACCCUGGUAGUCCACGCCGUAAACGAUGAAUGCCAGACGUCGGGCAGCAUGCUGUUCGGUGUCACACCUAACGGAUUAAGCAUUCCGCCCGGGGAGUACGGCCGCAAGGUUAAAACUCAAAGGAAUUGACGG
rnacentral:rRNA from 1 species